AUUGAACGCUGGCGGCAGGCCUAACACAUGCAAGUCGAACGAGUGGCGGACGGGUGAGUAAUGUCUGGGAAACUGCCUGAUGGAGGGGGAUAACUACUGGAAACGGUAGCUAAUACCGCAUACCAUCGGAUGUGCCCAGAUGGGAUUAGCUAGGAGGUGGGGUAAAGGCUCACCUAGGCGACGAUCCCUAGCUGGUCUGAGAGGAUGACCACACACAUUGGAACUGAGACACGGUCCAGACUCCUACGGGAGGCAGCAGUGGGGAAGAUUGCACAAUGGGCGCAUGCCUGAUGCAGCCAGGCCGCGUGUAUGAAGAAGUCCUUCGGGUGUGAAAGUACUUUCAGCGGGGAGGCGUGACCCGCAGAAGAAGCACCGGCGAACUCCGUGCCAGCCGCCGCGGUAAUUC
rnacentral:rRNA from 1 species